CUGUUGAAAUGGAAAUGACCUUGCCCACUACACCAAGGGUAAUCAUGCUUGGAAAUAGCUUGAUGUCUGCAACCCGGUGGAUGGUCAGUAUGGAGGAGAAGUAUCAGGAGUCAGCAUCCACCACGCUGGAGAUGAUACAACGGCAAGUACUCUACACCAAGCCAUUUAUGAAUUAAAUUUAAUGACAGUUUGACUGAUGAUGAAGAACCAUAGCUGAUUGCUGUAUUGUACGUCUUCAUUAAAAAUUACAAUUAAUAUAUUUUAUUUCUGUUAAAAAAUUCUUUGUGAGGAUCAAUCCAGAUGUUGGUACCAAAUGCACAGCCAAAGUCGAUACAAGCUGCAAGACGGGAAGUCUAGUCAAGAGGAAAGUAGUCAGUGUCAACUCCCAGAUCACCACCUUCUUCCAACAACUUGCUGAAUUUGAAUGGAGGACUUCCAACUAGUUCAGCUUCCACAAGAUGGAUCCCACUGCUUUUGUUUGACGAAUGGAAUAAAAGUUCUUCUGAUGUAGGAAAUGUGUUCUAUGGUUUUGUUGUUUUAUAGCACAUUAUAUUGUAUUGUGACAUUGUUCUUUAUGACAUUGCGAAUAUGUAAAUGGAUUUUAUUUCUACAAAUCUGCUGAAAAUAAAUACCUGUUAUUCACAGUA